rnacentral:miRNA from 1 species
GGAAUUCCGCCCGUUCUGAGCUC